rnacentral:ncRNA from 2 species
CUGCAACAUGAUCGCGCCGGUGCCCGGAAACGGGUUAAUCGGGAAUGUGGUGCGGGCGUGAUAAGCGCCCCAAUCCACGGCUGUCCCUGCAACUGUAAGCGGAUAGCGCGAUGCACUGGCCCCAAAAGGGCGACCACUGGAGCGAUCCGGGAAGGUGUGCAUCGUGCUGCGACCCGCGAGCCAGGAGACCGGCCGGCGCAUGGUCGCUCUG